GGACCUUUAGCUCAGUUGGUUAGAGCAGACGGCUCAUAACCGUCCGGUCCUAGGUUCGAGUCCUACAAGGUCCA
rnacentral:tRNA from 1 species